GACGAACCGUGCGAACGUUGUUCGGAUUCACUGGGCUUAAAGGGCGCGUAGGCGGAAGGUCAAGUCCGAGGUGAAAUCUUUCGGCUCAACCGGAAAAGUGCCUUGGAUACGGAUCUUCUCGAGGGAGGUAGGGGCAUGUGGAACUUCCGGUGGAGCGGUGAAAUGCGUAGAUAUCACUUGGAACGCCAAUGGUGAAGACAGCUCGCUGGGGGGUGUCCUGACGCUGAGGCGCGAAAGCCAGGGGAGCGAACGGG
rnacentral:rRNA from 1 species